UACAGAGGUCUCAAGCGUUGUUCGGAUUCAUUGGGCGUAAAGGGUGCGUAGGCGGCGCGGUAAGUCGGGUGUGAAAUUUCGAGGCUUGACUUCGAAACUGCAUUCGAUACUGCCGUGCUUGAGGACUGGAGAGGAGACUGGAAUUUACGGUGUAGCGGUGAAAUGCGUAGAUAUCGUAAGGAAGACCAGUGGCGAAGGCGGGUCUCUGGACAGUUCCUGACGCUGAGGCACGAAGGCCAGGGGAGCAAACGGG
rnacentral:rRNA from 1 species